rfam:Anaerostipes hadrus draft genome.
UGAUAGCGUUGAAGCGUGAGGUUGCUGUAGAGGCAAAAGCCUUUGCAGGUUUUCCGUGGAGCGAAUGUCAAGUUGUUAAAACUGGCGACAA